rnacentral:rRNA from 1 species
AUGGCGACGGACAGCAGGACCGAACCGGAGGGUUGCGUCGGCCACAUGACGCCCCAAGAUGAUAUAGGCUCUGAAUUCCUGCAUUUAGAAUCCCGGGGCGUGGAGAGCUCCACCUUCCACCUCCUUCUAUCCUUGCACGGAGCUCAAGCUCUUGCCCGCAUUGCGCUCCUCCGCCUCCAGCAGCACUGCUCCCUCCUCCAAGUCUCCACCUCCCACCUCCCAACCCGCCUCAGACCCCCGCGGAACCCUCGCCGGAGCCAACCCUCGCCGCCAAAUGCGGCCAGGACCCCCAGCCCCUCCAUAACCCCACCCCCCGCCGAGCCAAUCUUGGCGCGGAAUGCGGCGGCGGCGCCCUGGCGAGGCGAGCUGCUGCUCCUCCUCCCCGCGGCCUGGCCGCUGCCGGCCCUCGCGGCCGAGGCCGACGGCGGCGGCGGGAGCAAGGUGAGCCUCGAGUCCAUCGUGCUGGCCGUCGACGACUUCAACAACCGUAACCCCUUCUUCGUGGCCGGGGUGGUGUUCGUCUGGCUGGUGGUGCUCCCGCUGGCGCAGGAGUACUUCAAGAAGUACAAGGCCGUGGGUGCCCUCGACGCCUUCCGCAAGCUCCGCGACGUGCCGGAGGCGCAGCUGCUGGACGUCAGGCGGGGCAGCAGCGUGCGGUUCAUGGCGCCGCCCAACCUCAGGCUCGUCGAGAAGAGCGCCGUGCAGGUGGAGUUCGACGAGGAGGACGAGAAGCGGUUCCUCGGGGAGGUGCUCGCGAGGUUCCCGGACCCGGCCAUCCCGGUGUGUGUGUGUGGGAACCGAAAUCAAUAA